CCGUGGGAGGGAAGGCAUUCUCUGUCAAGCUGCUGUCACCUUACCUGAAGUAAGGAGUCCACGCCUGCAUGUCCGAGGAAAACAGUUUUCUCAAACACAUUAGUUGAAAAACUGAAGACACUGCCUAAAAUACAAGCUGAGUUAGAGACAGCCCUUGUAAGACUAGAACACAUAAAAGCACUGUGGAAGUGGCAACAGGGAAGGUGAGAAGAGGAUUAUCAAAGACAUUGUGAUGAUAGAAUGGACAGGACUUGGUGAACAGAGUUGAUGCAGGCAGAAUCAUGAUAUUGUGUGAUUAAAGCCAUCUUGUGUCAUUUAAGGCUCAAACUGUAAUACUGGCUCUUCUCAGGCCUUGAGCCUACUUGCCUUCAGAUUGGAACUUUACCAUCUGCUCUCCUGGUUCUCAGGCCUUCAGGGAAGACUAGAACUAUGCCACUGACUCUCCUGGUCUCCAGUUUUUCAACUUCAAAUCUUGGGAUUUAGUCUCCAUGAUCAUAAAAAGAAAUGAAAACUAAGUAACAUGAAUUAACAUAGUCCAGGGUCACAAAGCAAAAUGGAACAAGAACCUGGAUCUGAAUUCAGAGGCAGAAUGCUGG
rnacentral:antisense_RNA from 1 species